rnacentral:rRNA from 1 species
CACGUAGUUAGCCGGGGCUUCUUACUCAGGUACCGUCAUCUUCUUCCCUGCUGAUAGAGCUUUACAUACCGAAAUACUUCUUCACUCACGCGGCGUUGCUGCAUCAGGGUUUCCCCCAUUGUGCAAUAUUCCCCACUGCUGCCUCCCGUAGGAGUUUGGGCCGUGUCUCAGUCCCAAUGUGGCCAGUCACCCUCUCAGGUCGGCUACUGAUCGUCGCCUUGGUGGGCCGUUACCCCGCCAACCAGCUAAUCAGACGCGGGUCCAUCUCAUACCACCGGAGUUUUUCACACCGGAACAUGUGUCCCUGUGCGCUUAUGCGGUAUUAGCAGUCAUUUCUAACUGUUAUCCCCCUGUAUGAGGCAGGUUACCCACGCGUUACUCACCGUCCGCCACUCAGUCAAUCCGGAUUCCAUCCGAAAACUUCCUCUCGAUCGCUUCGUUCGACUUGCAUGUGUUAAGCACGCCGCCAGCGUUCAUCCUGAGCCAGGAUCAAACUCUC